GCGCCGGUGGUGUAUCGGUAACAUUGGGUCUUCCCAACAAAAAGUCAUAAUUGGCCUAGCACCGGGUUCGACUCCCGGCCGGCGCA